UACGUAGGCAGCAAGCGUUGUUCGGAAUCACUGGGCUUAAAGCGUGUGUAGGCGGAGGCGUAAGUGUCUUGUGAAAUCCCCCGGCUCAACCGGGGAACCGCUGGGCAUACUGCGUCUCUUGGGCCAAUCAGGGGCAGCUGGAACAAACGGUGGAGCGGUGAAAUGCGUAGAUAUCGUUUGGAACGCCAACGGCGAAAGCAGGCUGCUGGGAUUGUGCCGACGCUGAGACACGAAAGCCAGGGGAGCGAACGGG
rnacentral:rRNA from 1 species